rnacentral:tRNA from 1 species
AAUAUAUUAAUAUAAAAAGUAUAUAUAAUUUCCAAUUAUAAAG